GAUGAACGCUGGCGGCGGGCCUAAUACAUGCAAGUCGAGCGAACGGACGAGAGGCUGUCUUCUCUGAGGUUAGCGGCAGACGGGUGAGUAACACGUGGAUAACCUACCUAUAAGACUGGGAUAACUUCGGGAAACCGGAGCUAAGGCCGGAUAAUAUUUUGAACCUCAUGGUUCAAAAGUGAAAGACGGUCUUUCUGUCACGUAUUGAUGGAUCCGCGCUGCAUUAGCUAGUUGGUAAGGUAACGGCUUACCAAGGCAACGAUGCAUAGCCGACCUGAGAGGGUGAUCGGCCACACUGGAACUGAGACACGGUCCAGACUCCUACGGGAGGCAGCAGUAGGGAAUCUUCCGCAAAGGGCGAAAGCCUGACGGAGCAAAGCCGCGUGAGUGAUGAAGGUCUUAGGCUCGUAAAACUAUGUUAUUCGGGAAGAACAUAUGUGUAAGUAACUGUGCACAUAUUGACGGUACCUAAUCAGAAAGCCCCGGCUAACUACGUG
rnacentral:rRNA from 1 species